rnacentral:tRNA from 3 species
GUCCCCAUCGUCUAGUCGGCCUAGGACACCGCCCUUUCACGGCGGCAACAGGGGUUCGAAUCCCCUUGGGGAUGCCA